GCAGCCGCGGUAAUACGGAAGGUCCAGGCGUUAUCCGGAUUUAUUGGGUUUAAAGGGAGCGCAGGCGGACUUUUAAGUCAGCUGUUAAAUUCGGUGGCUCAACCAUCGCAUGCAGUUGAAACUGGAGGUCUUGAGUGUACACAGGGAUGCUGGAAUUCAUGGUGUAGCGGUGAAAUGCUCAGAUAUCAUGAAGAACUCCAAUCGCGAAGGCAGGCAUCCGGGGUACAACUGACGCUGAGGCUCGAAAGUGCGGGUAUCAAACAGGAUUAGAUACCCC
rnacentral:rRNA from 1 species